AUUGAACGCUGGCGGCAUGCCUUACACAUGCAAGUCGAACGGUAACAGGCCGCAAGGUGCUGACGAGUGGCGAACGGGUGAGUAAUGCAUCGGAACGUGCCCAGUCGUGGGGGAUAACGCAGCGAAAGCUGUGCUAAUACCGCAUACGAUCUAUGGAUGAAAGCGGGGGACCGUAAGGCCUCGCGCGAUUGGAGCGGCCGAUGUCAGAUUAGGUAGUUGGUGGGGUAAAGGCCCACCAAGCCAACGAUCUGUAGCUGGUCUGCGAGGACGACCAGCCACACGGGGACGGAGGCACGGCCCAGACUCCUACGGGAGGCAGCAGUGGGGAAUUUUGGACAAUGGGCGCAAGCCUGAUCCAGCAAUGCCGCGUGCAGGAAGAAGGCCUUCGGGUUGUAAACUGCUUUUGUACGGAACGAAACGGCUCGGGUUAAUACCCUGGGCUAAUGACGGUACCGUAAGAAUAAGCACCGGCUAACUACGUGCCAGCCGCCGCCGCAGUAA
rnacentral:rRNA from 1 species